rnacentral:rRNA from 1 species
CGGACGGGUGAGUAACGCGUGAGUACCUGCCUUACACAAGGGGAUAGCCGUUGGAAACGACGAAUAAUACCCUAUGACAUAAACUCUCGCAUGAGGAGCUUAUCAAAGAUUUAUCGGUGUAAGAUGGACUCGCGUCUGAUUAGCUAGUGGUGAGGUAACGGCCCACCAGGCGACGAUCAGUAGCCGGCUUGAGAGAGUGUACGGCCACAUUGGGACUGAGACACGGCCCAGACUCCUACGGGAGGCAGCAGCG